GACGAGGAUGAGAACCUCCGGGGGCAAGAGGUUCGACUCGAGCGCAGCGAGAGAACGUUGCGUCAGCAACGGCCCGCAGGGCGAGCCACGCAGUGGCGAGUCAUCCUCUAUCACCGACCA
rnacentral:sRNA from 4 species